rnacentral:lncRNA from 1 species
GGUUGGUUUGCCGGAGGCCCGAGGGGGGCCGAGGCGCACCGGGAAAGGGCAAGGAGUCUCUGCACUGGCUUGACGCCCAUGCCCCCGGACUGCUUAGAGGUGUGCACUGGCAUUGGGAACCAGUGAGGCCAGGCUGGAAAGAAUCGGUGAAAUCGGCUAGAAGCAAAGGAAGAAGAAACAGGCAAAACACCACAGGGUGAUACCCCUGUGAAGGGCUCUGACCAGGUGGAUGGACCAGGCUGGCCACUGUUUGGAGAACAGUGGACUUUGGAGGAUGAGCAGAAGGGGACCAAGAGUUUCGAUGGGGAGAGAAGUCUCCGUGAGCUGUGAGAGCCUGGAAUCCAGUCCUCAGGGGAGAGGCCUGCAGUGAGAGGUUUUGGCCCUCAGGAGGGGGCAGAGCUCAAGGAGAAAACUGAAGUCUGCCCCAAGGCAAACCCUCAUCAGCGUGUUUCUGGAGGGCUACACCUGGCCAGCAGAGUCAUCAGGCAGCUACAAGCACACCUGGAGGUUCUUUGCAUCCAAUUUUCAUAGGCGAUAUUGCUCAUUCAAAGGCCUGCAAGCAGCACCCUGGCUCCUUCCCUGUCCUUGGACCUGCUCUGGCAUGAAAUGUGAUCCAAAAAGGCCCUCAGAGAAAGCCCAGCCCGCUGUCGACCUGCUUUUGUGCACCUUCCAAACAGCUCUCCUGCAGGGCAUCAGGAGCUGUUUUCCCCGUGCCAGGACCGAACUACAUUCUGACCCCACUGACCCCACUGGCUGCCCUCCCUGCCCUCAACACAGGGUACACAGCCAGCUGUGGACAAGGCACCGAUACUAAUGGCCUGUGCUAGGUAGGAAUUCUAGAAAUUCUAUUCUUUCUUUCUUCAUUUCUUUUCUUUUUUUUAUGGAGUCUCACUGAGUUGCCCAGGCUGGCCUCAAACUUACAGUCGUUCCUGCCUCACCCACCCGAGUAGUGGGAUUAUAGGGAUGCACCGUUAUGCUCAGCUUUGGCAGUGGUACAGAUUCUAAAUUCACAGGACUUCUGCCUACCUCAGCUUUCUGCUCUUGGGAUUCAGUUAGAAUAGGAGCACUGUUCAGGGAGUCGAGAUCUAGGUUCAGGACUCAGCCUGCCCUGGAGUCACUGGGGUGUGUAGCUCUUUUCACCCUCUUGAACCACUUUCUGACCCAUCUAACAACAAUAAACAGAACUGUUAGAAGUUAUACACUAACUUCGUGAUCCCUACCAACAUUCUUUUUUUGUUUGUUUGUUUUGGUACUGGGAAUCUAACUCCCGACCUUGUGCUUGUGAGGCAGGCACCAGAACCACUGAGCUAAAUCCCUGGCCCCCUCCCAACAUUCUUAUUAGAUAGGAGCAAUUAGGGCCGGGGAUUUAGCUCAGUGGCACCAUGCGUGGCUCACAAGUGCAAGGUCCUGAGUUCGAUCCCCAGUACCAAAAAAAAAAAAAUAGGAGAAGUUAUUCUACCAACUAAUACAUGAGGAUACUCAGAGAGGCUAAAACAAUAUUCAAGGUCAGUAGCUAGUUCAGUGAUGGCUUACUUCAAUGCUUUGUCUGAUCAGGCAGGAAAGAUGUAUGAGUUAUCUACACAGAACAGGGCAUGAACAUCAAUGACAUGCAUCCUCUGGAUCCAGGAGCUGAGUGGUUUGAGUGGAGGUCUGGACCAGGAUGUCUUGUGGGGCUGCACUCUAGAUGUUGGCCAGGGCAGCAGUCACCUGCGGGAUCCACUGCAUCUGCAGGAUUGUCUGUUCCAGGGAGGCUUGAUCACAUGAAGCUGGCUGUUGGCUGGGGCUGCAGGUCCUCACUGCAUAGACCUCUCCACGAGCUGCCUGUGGCCUUUCCCCAGCGGAAGUGGUCCAGACAGGCAAGGCCCACACAGGACGUCAUUUCCACACUAUCCUAGUGGUUACACUGGCUGUCCCUCUUUGGUGUGGAAAGGAACUACACAGGGAGGUGAAAGAAGCUGGGACUACUGGGGCCAUCUUGGAAUCUGGCUGUCAUGGACAGUCACAUGUAGCAACUUGCAGGGUAGCCAGGAAGACCAAUUCACAUGAUAGACAUAAACGGGCUCUCUGUUGAGUGUGCUGGGGCUGCUGUAAUAGAUCAGCAGAAAUUGGGUGGCUUAAAAUAACAAGAAUUUAUUCUCUCACAAUCCUGGAGGUUAGCAGUCCCAAAUCGAGGUGUCAGUAGGGCCACACUCCCACUGAAGGCUCUAGGGAAAUCCUUCCUGCUUCUCCAUAUUCUGGUGGCUACUGGCAGCAGUCAGUAUUCUUUAGUUUCAGGGCAUUGCUCUAAUCUUUUUUUGGCACUGGGGAUCGAACUCAGGACCUUGUGCUUUCAAGGCAGGCAGUGGAACCAUUGAGCUAAAUCCCUGGCCCUUCUAAUCUUUGCUUCUCUGUUCACAUGGCUUCAUCGCUGAGUGUCUGUUGCUUCACAUAGUCUUCUUUUCUUUUUUUUUUUUUGGUACCAGGGAUUGAACUCAGAACCUUGUGCUUGUGAGGCAGGUGGUGGAACCAUUGAGCUAAAUCCCCAGCCCUUCACAUAGUCUUCUUAUAAGGACACCAGUCCCGUUGGGUCUAGUGCCCACCCUAAAGUAGUCUGACCUUUUCUCACUUGAUGACAUCUGGAAAGUGCUAUUUCCAAAUAAGGUCACUCUGGGCUGGGGAUGUAGCUCAGCGGCACAGCAACUGCCUGGCAAGCAUGAGGUCCUGAGUUUGAUCCCCGGUACCAAAAAACAAAACAAAUAAGGUCACACUGACAGGUAUCAGGAGCUGGGACUUCCGCACAUCAUUUUUGGGGAGCACGGCACAUGCUAUGUAAUGUGUGGAGCCCUGUAUACAGAUGGGUCAGUAUCAUCUCCAUUGAAGUGGUGCUGGUGGAAGUAGUAGUCAUGGGAGUGGAGGAAAGGGUGGUGGUUAGUAUGGAAGCACAGGUGGGCAAUCCUUCAAGUUACUUUGAAAGUCUGUGACAUCUAGGUCAUUCAUCCAGGCGGGGCUGCUCUGUCCCACUGAAACUUCCUCAUGGUUUUCCAUGGAUACUGGAUUCUGUCAACUAAUUUGUCUUCAUCCAUUUCUUCCUUGGAUAUUCAUUCUUGCCAUGGUAGAUCCUUCUCUAGAACUUCCUCCCCUGACUACCAGCAUCUCUGAUCCAUGUCUCUCUCCAUAUUUCUGAAGCCAUUAUUUCUCUAAAAGUUCUGUUUCUGGGCAGAGACCUGGCACGCCUCCAAGAAAUACUACCCAGCUUUCAUUCCUGAUGCUCACUGGCCCCUCAACACACCAGGCACCCAGAGAUGUGUGCCAGAAAAAUGUGGAACUGGGAAUUUUCUUCUGGCCCCACCUUUGCUUCCAGUGACCUGGGUGACCUCGCAUGAGUUCCUUUGGCUCUUCAUGCCAUGGCUUCCUGAUCUGCAGUCAGCAUGUAUUUUUGUGAUCUAGAUUCCAAAAUCACACCGGGCCACUUCUGCUCGGCCCUAUCAGGCCAAAGCCGGCCCUCCUCCUGAGCUCACAGCAGCUGUCUGCAGGAGUGCAUCUCCAUUUGUGGAUGAAGACACUGAGGCUCGGCAAGCUUAAGUAAUGGCCACAUUAUUACAAGCCAGGGCAGAGCCACAGGUGAAUCCCAGAAGUGACUCCAGUGCCCAUAGUGACACACGCCAUGGCCUAAUUCGUGUCCUUCUCCUCUUCCCUGUUCCUCAAACUUCGAAAAAUGGGCCUGACUGGGUCCAAAACUGCUAUCAGGGGUGGCUUGGGGACAGCAGAGAUGUAGCACAGAAGCCUGUAGACAGGUGGUCAGACAACCUGGCUUCUGGCCUUGGCUCUGCCAUGCCUGUUUGUGAGGAGUGUGACAUCAUUUCCUCCUCAAUAGCAAAAGGAAUGCUGCAGCAUGCUGCCUUUCCUGGUUGUCAUGGGUGAGAGGAUCUUAACCAGGUCAGAGUGCUAAGAAAGCUAUUUAAUGCUCUUCAAAGAAAACAUAUGAUCUGCCUCUGACUCCUCGAGUACCACUAACAUCUAGCUGCUUUACAAAUAUUUGUUGAUUUUAAUUUAAGAGUUUCUUACCAAUCCCAGAAAGAGUAGAACCAUCCAGCAACUCUGCCUGUUCCCAGGGCUGAUCACCAGGGAGACCCCUGGGCCAGAUCAUUAAACAGGAGCUGUGGAUUUGGAGUUUGGAGGCCCUUGUUACUCCAAACAGCCAGCAAAUACUGAUGGGACAGGGGGUUUUAGGGAUGAAUAUUUAGAGUAUUCAGCAUAACUCAUUGUGGUGUAAAUGAACUACACCAAGACUUAGUAGCUCACAGCAAUAAUUUAUUUUGAUCUCAUGGGUGUGUGGUUGCUGGUGGUCUGCUGGUGGGUUCUUCCUUAGGGGUCUCCAUGAAGUUGCAUUAGACAGCAGCUGGGACUGUGGUCACCUAAAGGUCCAACUGGUUGGGAUGGCCCAGCCAGUGUUAUGAUUAGGAUCUGAAAUGUCCCCCAGAGGCCAUGUGUUGAAGCAGAUGGUACCAUUGGAAGGCACUAGAACCUUUAGGAGAUGUAGGGCACUGGAAGGAAAUUAGGUCAUUGGGCAUAAUCCCUUAAGGGGAUGUUGGGACCCUCACCUCUUCUUUCUGUCUGUGUCAGCUGCUUGCUCCACACAAGCUUCCACCAUGACGUUUUGCCUCACUACAGGCCCCAAACAACAGAGCCAGCUGUCCAUGGACUGCAACUUCUGAAACCAUGACAAAGUAAACUUUUCCUCAUUUAACUUGUUUCUCUUAAGCAUUUUAUCAUAGCUACAGAAAUCUAACCCAGCUCAAGGCUGCUCCAUGUGGC